GGGUCCUUGGUGUAAUGGUAGCAUAGAAGUCUCCAAAACUUUUGGUUAGAGUUCAAAUCUUUAAGGGCCUGCCA
rnacentral:tRNA from 1 species